ACAGCUCAAAUUUGAAAUCUGGCCCCCGGGUCCGAGUUGUAAUUUGUAGAGGAUGCUUUUGGUGCGGUACCUUCCGAGUUCCCUGGAACGGGACGCCAUAGAGGGUGAGAGCCCCGUCUGGUUGGACGCCAAUCCUUUGUAAAGCUCCUUCAACGAGUCGAGUAGUUUGGGAAUGCUGCUCUAAAUGGGAGGUAUAUGUCUUCUAAAGCUAAAUAUUGGCCAGAGACCGAUA
rnacentral:rRNA from 1 species